rnacentral:rRNA from 1 species
GACGAACGCUGGCGGCGUGCCCAAUACAAGCAAGUAGAACGCAGUUGCGAACGGGUGAGUAACGCGUAGGUAACCUGCCUCAUAGCGGGGGAUAACAAUAGGAAACGCUAGCUAAAACCGCAUAAGGUGGGAUGGACCUGCGUUGUAUUAGCUAGUUGGUGAGGUAAAGGCUCACCAAGGCGACGAUACAUAGCCGACAUGAGAGGGUGAUCAGCCAACCUGGGCCGGAGACACGGCCCAGACUCCUACGGGAGGCAGCAGUAGGGAAUCUUCGGCAAUUGACGGAAGUCUGACCGCGCAACGCCGCGUGAGUGAAGAAGGUUUUCGGAUCGUAAAGCUCUUUUGUUAGAGAAGCGGUACCUAACCAGAAAGGGACGGCUAACUACGUGCCAGCAGCCGCGGUAAUUC